UACAGAGGGUGCGAGCGUUAAUCGGAAUUACUGGGCGUAAAGCGCACGUAGUCGGCUUUGCAAGUCGGUUGUGAAAUCCCCGGGCUCAACCUGGGAACUGCAUCCGAGACUGCAUUGCUAGAGUAUGGGAGAGGAAAGCGGAAUUUCUGGUGUAGCAGUGAAAUGCGUAGAUAUCAGAAGGAACAUCAGUGGCGAAGGCGGCUUUCUGGACCAAUACUGACGAUCAGGUGCGAAAGCAUGGGGAGCAAACAGG
rnacentral:rRNA from 1 species